rnacentral:misc_RNA from 1 species
UCUCUCUCUCUCUCUCUCUGGUUUAUUUGGUGCUGACUAAAACUCAAACUCGAGAUUUUAUAGCUUUGAAGACGACUCCAACACCAUUGAGCUAAAGCUCAUUGGUAUAUAGGUAUUCUUUUAGAGCUUUGUUAAUUGUUAUUUGAGAAUUGGGAAAUUUAAUAAUUUUGAGAGUAUUGUUUCUUUUUUGUCGAGUGUUUUAUUUGUGUGGUUCUACAUCAAUUUAGUAUCAAAGUAGGUUCAGUCAGAUUUCUGGAUCUCUUCCUCAACCACGUGUAUUUUCACGAUCUAACGUUGCUUUGUUGGUUUUUCUUUUCAAUAAAAAUAGCAUGGAUCAUCAUUGCCAUCCUGCUUUAACCCUGAUGCAAUACAUGAUUGUAGACAAUGAUACGGAAGAAAUGUGCAUUUUGUGUUCAUGAUUAGAUAAUUAGUUAAUAUUGGUGCCAAGGUAGAUUGCUAUCUUGUUUGUUGCAAGUAUUUUGAGUAUUACCAUGAUUCUUCAUGGAUGGCUAUUGCACACAAAUAUGCACUAACAUCCAAUAGUCAGCAGUCUUCAGCCUGAAGGUUGUAAUGUUGGAAGUUUUUGGUUGGCCAUAUUACUUUAAUGGCCUUAGCAAGCAAAUGUGUUAGUGGGGUAACUAUCUUUUGUUUGUGCUGUUCUAUUGGGUUUACUGGCUAUUAACAUAUUUAUCCAAAGAAGUUCUGAACCCCUAAGAUAUAGUGCAAGCUCACACCAUUGAUGCAUGUUUUCUAAUAACUCAAAAGACCAGUUAAACAGCUUGAGCUGUUAUGGGUAACUAUUUUCUGUUUGUACAGGUCUGACCUAUAUUCCGGAGCACUCACUGAAGAUAAAUGCAACUUCAAGCAUUUCCACAGGGAUUGUUUAGGAUGGAUCAAUUAUACUUUCUGUUUCUUACCAAAUUUAAUCUUCAACCAUGGAAAGCGAUUCGAAGGGCUGUCUUGACUUGUAUCACCUAGUUAUUUUGUGUUCCUUGAUUUUAAGAAAGUUAUACCCUCACCUCAUGUAUUGUGAAUCAUGACCUGGAUACACAAUGGUUGUCAUAUACCCUCGUAAUGGGAGAGAAAUAUACCCUUUAGAGAUGGAUUGAACCGUGUGAAUUGUUCUGAUUUAAUACUUCAAUGACAGCACGGAAUUCAUUCUUGCUCGUGUAUUCUAUUCUAUUCACUAAUCUGUACAC